rnacentral:lncRNA from 1 species
ACAAAACAAAACAAACUAGGAAGUACUUGUGGUCCUAGGCUGUCCGCGAGCCGCUGCCCCCCCUCCUCUUCCCUCCCGCCCACCGCUCUGACUCCUACCUGCACCCCUCUUCUCAGGGCCCCUCUCCCCUCCUCCUCGCCCCUCCAUCUCAUUUCCUCCCCUCCAUCCCCCUCCUCUCCUGCCCUCCCUUCCCCUCCCUCCCGUCCUCUCCCCUCCCUGUCCUUUCCCUCUCCUCCUCUCCCCUCCCCUCCCCCUUUCCCCCUCCCUGCCCUCCCCUGCCUUACCCUCCCCCUCCUGCCCUCCCCUCCUCCUCCUUUCCCCUCUCUCCCUCCCCCCCUCCCCUUUUCCCUUCCUCUCCUCCCUUUCCCCCUCCUCCCUCCCCAUCCUCUCCCCUCCCCUCCCCUCCGUUUCCCCCUCCCCCUGCCUCCCCUUCCCUCCUUGCCCUCCCCCCCUCCUCGUCCUCCCCUCUCCUCCCUUUCCCCCUCCUCUCCCUUCCCCUGCCCUCUGCCCCCUCCCUUCCCUUUCCCCCUCCCCUCCCCCCUCCCCCUCCCCUCCCCCCUCCCCCCCCCCCCGCUCCUGCGCAGGCGCGCCGGGGCCGCGCGCGGAGACCUGGGAGCGGGCGGGGCGGGCGGGGGUGUGGCCAGCGCCGGGCCCCAACGGCCGACGCGUCCGCGCGGGAAGUCUCGCGCCAGGCCCCGCCCGCGGUUUGAACCGGAGGCCCCGCCCCCGCGCUCGGCCAAUCAGCGUGCGGGGCGGCCGGCGCCUGGCGACCCUUUGUGGGCGCGGAGCGGCCCCGCCCCCCGCGGCCCCGCCCCUCGGUCGGCGGCGGGCUCGGGCUCGGGCUCGGGCUCGGGCUCGGGCGGGGACGGCGGGGACGGCGGGGACGGCGGCGGCCAGGUGAGCGGCGGGCGGGCGCCCCGGGUCGGGUCGGGGGCGGGUCGGGGGCGGGUCGGGGGGGCCCGCGGCCCGGGGGUCGCCGCGCGGCCCGGCCCUGCCCUCCCGCCGAGCCCACCUGCGCGCCGGCUCCUUGUCCUUUGUGUCCCGGCCUCACCGCUUCGAGGGGCCUCGGGGCGCGGGUGCUGCGGGCCGGGCCGGGCCGGGCCGGGCCGGGGCGGGGCGGGGGCGGUCAGCGGCCCGGGGCACGGACUUUCUGGGCAAGUUUUGCCGUGUUUUCCACCCGAAGCGGAAAUGCAGGAUGCAAAGUCCCGCUUUAGCAUCUCCCGAGAAGGAACCGUGUCUCGGAAGGGCGCCAGGAAGUGUCCCCCAGCGUCCGGACCGGGUUUCCAGGCCCAGACACUGUAUUUCACCCCAGGCCCAGGAGCAGCAGCCGCGGCAGACGCCCCGCGGGGACCCCAGGCCCUUCUGCAGCCGCCCUGCCUGCCGGUCUUCUGGGAUGACAUAUUUCGGAGACCGCCUGAGCGUGUGACCGAAGCGUUCACGUUAUUUUGCCUGAAAGACCUGAGUCAGGAGCGAGCUUGCGGGUGGCUGAAGGUCGUAGGGAUGCGCCAGGUCAGGGCCGAGGCUGCCCCAGGCCCCCCAGGCUCUGCCGGCAGCCUGGGCUGCUGGGCACAUACGGGAGAGCCGCUGCAGGACGGGGAGGUCCCCUUUGUCUUGGGGGCGCCCUGA